GAAAACUUUAAUGGUCGAACAGACCAACCCUUGAAAGCCCCUACACCUUCAGGAUGUUUUGAUCCAACAUCGAGGCCAUAAACCCUUUUUUCGAUAUGAUCUCUCAAAAAGAAUUAUGCUGUUAUCCCUGCGGUAAUUAUUUCUCUUAAUCACUUAUCAAUGGAUCAAUAUAUAUCAAUCUAAAAUUAAUCAAGGAGGCUUUUUUUGCUCCCCGGUUCCCCCAACCAAAACUAUAAUAUAAAUAUUUACAAACAUACUUCUAACAUUGUAAAUCUCACACCUAAUUAAAACUCGACAGGGUCUUCUUGUCUAUCAAUUUUAUUUAAGCUUCUUCACUUAAAAAUAAAUUUCUAAAAAUUUUAUAAGAGACAGUUUUACCCUCGUCAAACCAUUCAUACCAUCCCUCAAUUAAAGGACAAAUUAUCACGCUACCUUCGCACAGUCAGGCUACCGCGGCCAUUAAAACACAGUAAUUAAUGCUCAUUAGGGCAG
rnacentral:rRNA from 1 species